UCAUCUGCUCUGUGGUCACUUAACUGGAUAAUUCCUUCCCACUCCUUGUCAGAUUGUUGUGUUGUGCUGGCAUUUUAUUUUUGCCUCUGUACUGUAUUCCGUUUUUCUGUUUACCUAAACUUGUUUCUGCCUGCCUGACCUGCCUGUUUGACUUUUGUUGCAUGAUAUUGGAUUUUGGAUUCCUGCCUACUCCUUGUCGGAUUUGUUUGCCUGUUUGGACUGCUCUCUAUGGCUCUGCCUGCACCAUUCGGACGGCAGGUGGACAAAGUGAAACAGAGGAGGAUGAACUUGAAGACAGAGCGAGGAGACGGUGCCAUUGAUUUGACAGCCUACAGGUCCGGACAUGCAGUUUCCAGCAUCCAAGCUGGGCCACAUCUGUUCAAGGCUUACACUCAAACAUAUGACCCACUGGCCUGUAUGGACUCUGGAAACUUGAACAACUGGGAGAGCCCCAUGCAAAUCCAGUGGAGGAAACCCACAAAGCACCAGGGAGAAGAUUUAUCAUCAUGGCCUUUUCACUUGAACGCAUUCUGAGCAAUGCCCGCAGACUCUGUGCUCCCAGAGCGGCACAUGGUGUGAAAGCAGUGGAGAAAGAAAAGCCAGUUUCUUCCACCUCACCCCGCUGCCCGCAUGUAGCGCAGUGAGAUUCAGCACCAUGGACAGAGUCUGAUGUCAGUCUGAUGGGGGGGAAACUGAACGCUGGCU